rnacentral:rRNA from 1 species
UGUGGCCUCAAAUCAGGUAGGACUACCCGCUGAACUU